UCCCUGGAGGCUUUAGUGAAAAGCCCUUUCCCCGGUGACCUGGAGUGUCUUGCUAGAUGGAGCUGGCCAAGCCUGACGUCUUUUCCUGGCCGAUGCCUCAGUCCUUAUGCAAGCUGAGCUAUCUGAUGGCAGGUCCUGAGAUCAGCGUCUGGGGCCAGUUCCCAGGGAUAGGCUAUCCCAGCAGGACCGCAGCACCUGCUGAUGCCCCUGCAGCUGCCAGAUCCUGGGAGGUGGCAUCACUGUGCCUGCCAUUAAGGUGGACGUGAGGCAGGACUUCAUCCUGGAGCUGGAAGAAGCCUCAGGGUCAUCAGUCCUCAGAGUGGCAUCAGGCCCACCCUCACCGCACAGGUGGGGCCUCAGGCCUGGGAGCGUGACCGACUGGCCCCCAGUCUUUCCACCAGCCAGGAGUAAGGUCGGGACUAGACUCCUGACUCGCUGACCACCAUACCUACAGCCAUUCCCUCACUCUCCUUCAAUGACCUCAAGUGGGGGCAAAAGAGCGGUUUUGGAGGUCAGAAGUCCCAAAUCAGUUUCAGCAGGAUGGAAUCAGGGUGCCAUGAGGGCCGCUCCCUCCAGAGGCUCCAGGGGGGUCUGUUUCCUUGCCUUUUCCAGCUUCUAGAGCUGCAUUCCUUGGCUCGUGGCCCCUUCCUCCGCCUUCAAAGGCAGUGGCUUAGCGUCUUCAAAAUUCUCUCCACGCUGUCUUCUCAUGGCCUUCUCUUCUAUGUCAGAUUUCCCUCUAUCCUCUCUUAUCAGGACAUUUGUGAUUGCAUUUGGGACCCACCCAUGUAAUCCAGGAUAAUACACACACACACACACACACACACACACACACACAAUCUUUCCCUCCAGAGGGCCAGCUGUUGAGCAUUUAUCAGCCCACCACUGCUUAAUACUUAUUUCCAGUAGGGAGGUAGAGGGAGCCUAAGGCCCCCGAAAAGGUAAAGUGCUCUUUGCACCUGAGGGUGGACCUUGCAGUCCCGAGCUCUAUGGUGAGCCUGUCACCCACCGUGGUCAGCUACCUCCAUCCACAGAUGGUUAAAUGGAUCUGGAUCAACCACCUCCGAGGAUGCCUGUGUUUCAGCGGAAGAUGAGGCUAGUGUGAACUUGGCCUUUACAUCCUUCUCCGCAGAGCACUGCAAGCAGCCAGUCCCACUGGAACAUAAGAUGAAGCUUUUGUUCCCAUGGCUGGAUACACUUUGGAUCUUGGAAUGCAAUAAUUACUUCAGCUGGAUCUGGUUCGUGGAGUACUUGGCCAGGGCUCUGCCUCAUGCCAUGGUCCUACAAGAUAUGUGAGGAGGUGGACAUCUUUGCGUAGCCCUCCUCCAGAGGCAAGUGGAUUCCUUCCAUAACCCAGAGAAGGCCGCUUGGGAAUGAGGCUGAGAAGCCAGACUUUUUGGCACACAAAGAAAAAGGGAGUUUUCAAAGUUGCCGCAAAUCAUGCAGGAAGAGAAAACAGGACAUUAGUGGACACUGAUUCUUCCCCUCUGCUGAACUCUGAGUCCAGUUUAAAUCUUUAAUAACAUAACACAUGGAGAAAAUUGCUUAUAUAAAAUGAUCACCUUUCUUUUAAAAAAAAAAAAUUAUAGAGACUGGGUCUUGCUCUAUUGCCCAUGCUGGAGUGCAGUGGCUUGAUCAUAGCUCACUGCAGCUUUGAACUGUUAGGCUCAUAUGAUCCCCAUGUCUCUGUCUCCUGAAUAGCUGGGACUACAGGUGGACACUACCAUGCCUAAUUUUUUAGUUUUUUUUUUUUUUGAGAUAGGAUCUUGCUAUGUUGCCCACGCUGGUCUUGAACUCCUGGUCUCAAGCAGUUAUUCUGCCUCAGCCUCCCAAAGUGCUGGGAUUACAGGCAUAAAACACCACACUCAGCCAGAAGAAAUUAUCAUCUUUCUAAAAUCAAACUUCUCUUAUAUUCUGGGAACCUACUGAGGAAGGCACAGAUUUAUCCUCUAGAUGCCAGAAGGCUAGAAUUGGGAAAGCUUCGAAGCUUAAACAGGGCAAAGCGUAGGUCAUAGAAGAAUGUAUUAUCUAUUGCUAUGCAACAAAUUACUCUAAAACUUUAAAAACACAAACAUUUAUUAUCUCUCAGUUUUUCUGGGUGAGAAUCUGGGUAUGGCUUUGCUUGCUGCUUCUGACUCAAGGUCUCUCACCUGUCAAGGCUGCAAUCAAAGUGUCGGCGGGGGCUGCAGUCUCAUCUGAAGGCUUGCCUGGGGAGAACACACUUCCAAGCUCACUGCCAUGGUGGAUGGAAAGCCUCAGGGGUACUGCAAUUGAGGGGAGAAAAUGGCCAACUUGAGCCAGGGUGCAAUGACAUCAAGAGGCCUGGGAGCUGAGGAGAAAAGACUAAGGAGCCUGAGGAAUGGAUGUGGGUCUGGAAGAGAGCUGGAAGAGUACAUGGUCCUGGGAGCCUCCUGGGGAAAGUGCUUUAAGUAGGAGGCAGAGACCAACUGGUUCCCAUGGUGCCAAUGAGUCAUGUGAGAUAAGGACUGAGAGUUGACAUUAGGAGUGGCAGUGGAGGGGCAUGUAGUGACUUUGACUAGAGCUAUUUCCAUGGGAUGAGGAGGGUGAGGGAAGCUGACUAGUGUGGGCUCAGUUUAUGCUGGAGGAGAGGACUGGGAGAAUAAUGCUCCUUCAUGUUCCUCAGUUAUGCUGUAAAGGGGAACGAGAAGCAGUAGCCGGAGAGGACUGGGGGAAGGGGCAUCUAGGUUUCAUCCAUGCAUCUGAUGGGAAUGAUCCUGCAAAGGGGAAAUGAACAAUGCAGGCGAGAGAAGCAAGCCCUGCUGGACACAUCCUUGAGUAGGCAGAAGCCAAUGUCUGGUGCAUAGGCAGAGGGCUGGCUUUAGGUGGGAAGGAUGGGUGGGAAGAUGAGCCGGCAUAGAAGGGGUAGAGGGGGCUUGCAGAAGCACUUUCUGAUGGUGUCUGUCUCUUCACUGAAAUGGGAAGCCAGGUUGUCAUUGUAGCCACCUCCCAGUGGGGCAAAGAGGAGGGAGUGAGAUGCCUCAUGAAAAGCAAUGCUUGGGGUCUGGUGUAGAGUAAUAACUCAGUAAAUCCAUUGUCUUCUUGCUUACCUCUAAGUUAUAGUGAUCACAUUUUCCAGACCAAAUAUCUGAACCUGGAAUCUGGCAGGUGCCUUAGGGGCCAAUGGGUGUGACUGAUUGAAAAAUCAGAAUGUCUCAGAAACACCUAGACUUUUAAUUUCCAAACAACAGACAUGAUAAGCAUCCAGGGCCUGUCAUGUAUAUUAUGGAACGUAAUGCCACUUUCUUUGGCCCUUUUCCAAAGCAGAUGAUAUCCCAGCACCAGGGAAAAUGGUUUCAAUAUCAAGUUGGGUCAGCAGCAUCUUUCUACCUAUUUCUGUCUUCGUGGUCUUUAUAUUUGAAAUAAUCAUUACUAUUUUAUGCAUUCUCUCCCCAUCCUGCAUUACAGAAGGAACGUUCCUAACAAAUGUUUUAUGUUUCAACUGCUAGGAGAUUGUAUUUUUGAAAUAAAAUUUUAGUUAUCCUUUCAUUUUUUGAUCCUGUAGAUACAUACAAAUUUAGAAACUCUGAAAGAACACCUUAAUUUAUAUUCUGUGCCUAUGUGGGUGAGGGAAGAAGAGGCUGUUUGGUAUAUAUUAUAUUUUUAGGUUUUUAAAUCUCUCUUCUUUUUUGCAAAUGUGAUGGAAUGUAACAUUUACCAGAAACUGAGAAUUCCCGAGGCAGUAGCCACAGCAGCAACAGUAACUCUAAGCUGGAGAUGGUCUGCUCUGGUGCCAGAGAGGCCAACCCUUGACUCUACUCUCUCGUGAUCAAUCAGCUGGAAAAUCACCAAUCCAUGGUCCUCCCUUCCCAUAAGUCACAGUCUGAGUAUGGCGCCUGUGGCUGGAACCCUUACGCUCUCCUUUGGGGUGUCUGGGUACCACUCUGUCUGACCCAUGCUCCUGGGCAUUCUGGAAGUCGGGACUCUGCCUUCCUUACCUGUCUGUGCUUGGAACUCAGAGGAUCCUUGUUAUGUAGUAGGUGUAGUGGACAUUGGUCAGUAGGGAGGCCUAUCAUCUUUUUACAAGUGUUCUAGACGUUUUCCCAACCCCCCACUUUGUCAACCCUGCCUUUCACACUGACAUCUUUUCCCAGCCUGAUUUGGCACCUGCCCAUCAGACACCAUGUGAGUCUGUGGCUCAGAAUGGGGUCCGGGACGCACCACACAGGGUGGGCAUCCAUGUGGAGGAUGCAGGAACAGCAUGGUGGAGGCAGGGUGGCCUUGAGGGCAGUAAGGCCAGCUUUGCCAUUCUGUGGUUCGAGGCACAGCCCAGAGCUGAGUCCUUCAAUCCUCCCCGACAGAACUGUGAGAUUUCUCAAACUAAUCAAUAAAUCCCUUCCUGCUGAAACCAAAUUGAUUGGCUUCUGUUGGUUCCAACCAGGCCCCUGGCCAGUGCCAUGGAUGUCUACGGACCCAAAGAAAGGCCUCCACAUGAGCAGAUCCAGCUGUGUGGGGCCCAAUGCUUCUAUCGUUGAAAGAUCCU
rnacentral:lncRNA from 10 species